UUGUCCUACGGGGGGCAGCAGUGGGGAAUAUUGGGCAAUGGGCGCAAGCCUGACCCAGCAACGCCGCGUGAAGGAAGAAGGCUUUCGGGUUGUAAACUUCUUUUCUCAGGGACGAAGCAAGUGACGGUACCUGAGGAAUAAGCCACGGCUAACUACGUGCCAGCAGCCGCGGUAAUACGUAGGUGGCAAGCGUUAUCCGGAUUUACUGGGUGUAAAGGGUGCGUAGGCGGAUUUUUAAGUCAGCGGUAAAAUGUCCGGGCUCAACCCGGGCCGGCCGUUGAAACUGGGGAUCUUGAGUGGGCGAG
rnacentral:rRNA from 1 species